ACCUGCCAUCAGAAGAAGGUUGCGCCAAAACUAAAAAAAGUGGAUUUUUUCUCAAAUACUACUGGUAAAUCAUCUGUCUGUGACAUGACAAACAUAUCUGAAUCAGAGUGCUGACAACUGAAAUAGCUGGUUUUGGAGAAAGAAAAUGUCAUUUUAGAAGCUAAAGAUGACCAAUUGAUACAAUACAGAGUCCUAGGCAACACUAAGCAUGAAAUGUAGUGAUGAAAAAGAGGGCAACAGUCACCGAGCUGAAAUUCAAUAGCAGGAAAUAGCUCAUCUGGCAAAUGAUCAAGACAUGGUGGAAAUAAAGAACUGUAGAAAACUAAACAAUUGAAGAAGUUCAUAUAUAUCGGGACUCCUGGAGGAACCACAAUUGACACUUGACAUUAUUAACUCAUGUACAAAUUACAAAAUGCUGUUUAACUAUUCAACAUGGUAAUGUGAAAAAAGUCAGCUAUUUUUUUAAAGUUU